AGCUGUGAUUGGGAUAAUAAGACUUGUCUGUGAUUGGCUGUGCAACCAGGCUGGGAGACCCCUGCUUGUCUGGGGACCAGAGGAGAAGCAGAAACGUGUCCUUGGACUGGGGAGCCUGGUCAGGGUCCCAGGGCUCAGAACUGAAUCCUCAGAGACCUCGGCCAUAGAGGAUGGAGAAGCCCCCAGGAGCCUGGCUACUGAUUCUGGGGCUCCAACUGGGCUGGGCGAGUGGCGAGGACAAGGUGGAGCAGACUCCUCCAUCCCUGAUCAUCCAGGAUGGAGAGAACGGCACCAUGAACUGCAGCUACACGACCAGUUAUUUUAAUGGCCUGCAGUGGUACCGGCAGGAUGCCGGGAAAGGUCCCGUUGUCCUCUUUAUCUUAAUGAUGAACAAAGAUGUUAAAAAGGAAGGAAGAUUCAGAGCCACACUCGAUACCGAGAAAGGAAUCAGCUUGCUGACUGUCAGAGCCUCACAGCUAAGAGACUCAGCCACCUACUUCUGUGCUAUGAGGCACAGUGAUUCCUGACUCCCUGCCACCUGUGCAGAAACCUUACAGCUGGGCUUCGGGGACACUCACCGUCUCCAUCUCUUGAUCAACCAGCCAGUUGGCACAAAAACUAUGGCUCCAUUUACCCCUCAGAAACCAACACCUCUCCCCUCCCACAUAGAGUUAGAAACAAGAUUGUUAGCCCAUUGUUGGGUAGGGAUUGUCUCGAUUUGUUGCCAAAUUGUAC